GAUGAACGCUGGCGGCGUGCCUAGUACAUGCAAGUCGAGCGAACGGACGAGAAGCUUGCUUCUCUGAUGUUAGCGGCGGACGGGUGAGUAACACGUGGAUAACCUACCUAUAAGACUGGGAUAACUUCGGGAAACCGGAGCUAAUACCGGAUAAUAUUUUGAACCGCAUGGUUCAAAAGUGAAAGACGGUCUUGCUGUCACUUAUAGAUGGAUCCGCGCUGCAUUAGCUAGUUGGUAAGGUAACGGCUUACCAAGGCAACGAUGCAUAGCCGACCUGAGAGGGUGAUCGGCCACCCUGGAACUGAGACACGGUCCAGACUCCUACGGGAGGCAGCAGUAGGGAAUCUUCCGCAAAGGGCGAAAGCCUGACGGAGCAACGCCGCGUGAGUGAUGAAGGUCUUCGGAUCGUAAAACUCUGUUAUUAGGGAAGAACAUAUGUGUAAGUAACUGUGCACAUCUUGACGGUACCUAAUCAGAAAGCCACAGCUAACUACGUG
rnacentral:rRNA from 1 species